ACGUCCACACCACGAUCAGUGUGCCGGCUCUCGUCCGAUCACUGAAGUUAAACAGCGUCGGCCGCGGCUAGCACUUGGAUGGGUAACCACUCGGGGA